rnacentral:rRNA from 1 species
AUUGAACGCUGGCGGAAUGCUUUACACAUGCAAGUCGAGCGGCAGCGCGGGGCAACCUGGCGGCGAGCGGCGAACGGGUGAGUAAUGCAUCGGCACGUACCCAGUCGUGGGGGAUAACUGUCCGAAAGGACAGCUAAUACCGCAUACGUCCUGAGGGAGAAAGCGGGGGAUCGCAAGACCUCGCGCGAUUGGAGCGGCCGAUGCCGGAUUAGCUAGUUGGUAGGGUAAAGGCCUACCAAGGCGACGAUCCGUAGCUGGUCUGAGAGGACGACCAGCCACACUGGAACUGAGACACGGUCCGGACUCCUACGGGAGGCAGCAGUGGGGAAUUUUGGACAAUGGGCGCAAGCCUGAUCCAGCCAUGCCGCGUGAGUGAAGAAGGCCU